rnacentral:rRNA from 1 species
AUUGAACGCUGGCGGCAUGCCUUACACAUGCAAGUCGAACGGCAGCACGGGAGCAAUCCUGGUGGCGAGUGGCGAACGGGUGAGUAAUACAUCGGAACGUGCCCAGUCGUGGGGGAUAACUACUCGAAAGAGUAGCUAAUACCGCAUACGACCUGAGGGUGAGAGCGGGGGAUCGCAAGACCUCGCGCGAUUGGAGCGGCCGAUGUCAGAUUAGCUAGUUGGUGGGGUAAAGGCCUACCAAGGCUACGAUCUGUAGUUGGUCUGAGAGGACGACCAGCCACACUGGGACUGAGACACGGCCCAGACUCCUACGGGAGGCAGCAGUGGGGAAUUUUGGACAAUGGGCGCAAGCCUGAUCCAGCAAUGCCGCGUGCAGGAAGAAGGCCUUCGGGUUGUAAACUGCUUUUGUCAGGGAAGAAAUCCUCUGGGUUAAUACCUCGGGGGGAUGACGGUACCUGAAGAAUAAGCACCGGCUAACUACGUGCCAGCAGCCGCGGUAAUACGUAGGGUGCGAGCGUUAAUCGGAAUUACUGGGCGUAAAGCGUGCGCAGGCGGCUUUGCAAGACAGAGGUGAAAUCCCCGGGCUCAACCUG